GCAAGACUGUAUACUUGUUCCACUUGAGGGUUGGUUACAGUCAAGUCCCGUAAUCCCCAUAGUCGGUAUGGUGGUAACGAGUCGAGAUGGCUGGGAACAUUGGCGGUGCCACUUCAAAGCGGGAAUCCCGCGCAAUCAGACCCUCCUCUUCUCUCGCUGGCUUGAAAAACCGAGCGGGAGUCCUCGCUCAUGGGAUGAAACGUGCCAGCAACAGGAGAACCGGACAACCAGCGACCAGCUUGACCGUUCACUGUGCAGUCCUUAUCUUUGGCUGCGCUUUACAGGUUGGCCACAUUAUAAAAGACCAUACUCAAAUCAUGGAAUAUCUUAGUACCAUCGAUUCCAUAUAAGGUCAUUAAGUUAUUUACGUCAUUUAUCGGACACUUUUUUUUUAUUUAACUGAAAUUCAAGACGCCAUUAAAAAUGAUCUCUGCGAAAUAAUGCACUUACCGAGUCGUCGAGAAACGUCGUUUGCCACUAGGCGAAAUACCAAUGGCGCGUACACGUGCAACUCCUGUAAGCUUUGCCGACAUCAGAGAUUUCCUGAGUAUAUCCAUUUACGGACUGCAGAUUACUCAUGGCGAUAUGAAUAGUUAUCCACGGUAAUUGGUAAGAGUAGGCACUGCCUGAAGGUGGGUUACUGUUCUUUUAAAUACUGCCAACCGCGAUAUAGCUACAAGCAAUUGCUAGAUACGUAGCUAUGAUUUCUAUAAUUUACAUUUUUAUUUUACAGAUCAGAAGACUUUCUCUCCCAUCUCGCAUGUGCAUCAUUUAAUACUUAACCGUACCGAUGAUGGGACUCAUGGAUCUUUACAUCUGGUCUAAUUUUUCAUUGAUGACUACAGAAUUAUUCUAUCCAUAAUGUUGGUUCACGCGUGGCUCGCUAUGCUCGGUUCACACGACUCCCAGGAAAUAUGCGGAUCGCACAGUAUAAAACCAAUCGUUCCUUCUGGCGCUCCUGGUAUUGUCGGAAUCCAGUUUAAAAUCUACUCCAAAUCGCUGGCAUUUAAUAUACGUAAUUGCGCCGUUUAUUCCGGUUUCCCCUGGGAGCCAUGGACAUGUCCGAUACCAAUGCGCAUGCGCGACUCGAGGGUCGCUUGGGAGAAAUUGUUGAGAGUUUUCUUAAAAUAUCUUCAAACCAACCGCAUAGAGAUCCGCGUUUUCAUCGUCAUUUUAAACUUGGCCUAUCUCCUUCAAGUUUUUAUGAACAUUAUAGUAUAUCCAUGAAUUUUCAUAAUCGCCGCUUAAGAACUUCUCUAUUUUUCUGUCAAAGCCAGACUCAAGGUCAUUUCAUAUUAGAAAGAAACUUUACCGCCUUUAAGAUCCCAUUUGCAUUUACGCACUCGUGACGAUACACGCGCGACAAAUCGUACCGAAUACGUUUUAAAUAAAUUUUCGACAAAGUUUCAGUCUUCCAAUUGCUAAGCAAAGUAUCAACGACGAAUUGACUCUCACAGCAAUUCCCGUUUCCAUGGCGUCCAUUGCGCAAGGUUACCGAGAUUAUAGAAGGAUGAAAGGCAAGGAAACAAAAAAAGAAGAAAGCCAUACAAAUAUAAGAGAGAAAAAAAUAUUCCAACGAACAAGUAACCAAUCAGUAUCAUUUGUCGUUAUCUUAAAUAAAGACAUUCAAUGCUUUUCUUACAGCUCCGUUACACCUGGUCAUUGGUCGUCCAGGAACUGCAAUGAGAAUCAGCCCUAAGGCAGGGGACAGGCUUGAAUAAAAUGCCAGGAAUACAGGAACGAAAGAGUGAAGGAACGAAGUGGAACCUAUUUUAUUUGAUGCCACUGGUUUUUCAUUCGACUCUCCCUAUCGGGACGCCUUUGGCUCGCCAGAAUUUUCUCAAUAAAGGAUGAUGAUGAUGAUGACGACGAUGACGAGGAUGAUUACCGUCGUGAAACUCGCCGUUGCCGGUUGCCUUCCUCUACCUCCUCUGCUCGUCUCCAUCGUAUACAUUUCUCUACUCAUAUUCAGCCAUCUCCAUCCUUCUGUCUUAACACCUCGUUAAAGAGCAAACAAAUCGACGAGGUCGAUGCCGAGGUCGGGAUCUACGCUCGCUGAUAGGAGGUCAGCCUACGUUGAUUCACUGUUAGCCAGGAUAUGGACGUGGCUUCUGGGUGGUGUCUGCCGAAUGACUCGUCGAAAAGCAAAGUUAGGAUCCUUAAUUGAGAUGUCAAUACAUAACAGGAGUCAUCGAUUGGUCCGAUCAAUGACAUUCGGUAGCGGAACGAGGGUCAGGUACGAGGACCUAGUGUACAUUGACACAAUCAUUGGAAAUCAUUUGGACAAUGACUUCCUACUUUCGUCAAAGAGAAAAACUCCCGAAGGGAAAGAGGAAGAAGCCUCCCACGUCGAAAUUGGUGUGACUCUCGAAGAUCAGUUUCUUUAUUUACGUCUUCUGGCGAAACUUACCGUUCAUUGGAAUUCGUUACGUACCAAAUGCGAAAGGACCUCCUAGUCUCCGUUUCUUAAGAAUCGGUCCAAUUUUGAAUUUCGAAAGAGAAAAAAAAGGAAAAGACCAAAAAUGAUGAUUUCAGUCGUCGAAAUGAUCAAUUUGUUUUGUGUCUUGCUAUUUUUACUGACAUAAAAACCAAAUAGGCUGUCUUUUAAUAGUCGUGACUGGCUUCUGAGAGAAAGAGAGACAGAGAGAGCGAGCAAGUAUUUAUAAGAGAAAGAAAGAGAAUUUUUGGGAGAAAUUCCAAUGUACUCUCAAAUGUACCGUUACUGUUUUAUUGACGAAACAUUGAACGCGCCGUUGUCGCGCGUCUCAAUAAAUCAACGUCGACCGUGUGCAAGGACAAGAAAUCCUUGCUGACAGGAAUGCCAGUGGCCAAUGGCAAUGAUGAUCCGAACGGUAGUCUUCUUGGUGGCGGUAGACAAAAAUUUAAUAAGAUAUAAAUUAAAUUUUAAUUU